rnacentral:rRNA from 1 species
UCUUCCCCAAUGGACGAAAGUCUGAUGGAGCAACGCCGCGUGAGUGAUGAAGGGUUUCGGCUCGUAAAACGCUGUUGUUGGAGAAGAACAGGUGUGAGAGUAACUGUUCACAUCUUGACGGUAUCCUACCAGAAAACCACGGCUAACUACGCUCCAGCAGCCGCGGUAAUACGUAGGUUGCAAGCGUUGUCCGGAUUUAUUGGGCGUAAAGCGAGCGCAGGCGGUUUUUUAGGUCUGAUGUGAAAGCCUUCGGCUUAACCGGAGAAGUGCAUCGGAAACCGGGUGACUUGAGUGCAGAAGAGGACAGUGGAACUCCAUGUGUAGCGGUGAAAUGCGUAGAUAUAUGGAAGAACACCAGUGGCGAAGGCGGCUGUCUGGUCUGUAACUGACGCUGAGGCUCGAAAGCAUGGGUAGCGAACAGG